GUGCUUGCUUCAGCUUCACAUAUACUGAAACUGAAAUGAUGCAGAGAUUAGCAUGGCCACUGCACAAAGAUAACAUGCAACUUCAUGAAGUGUUCCAUAUUUUU